UUUUGACGGAAGCUGUGCAGCUGGUUGUGAAAAAGGCUGGAUAGGAGUCAAGUGUAAUACUAAGAUCGCUCAUGCCUGUGAGGGUAGUACGAUGUCACUAGACUGUGGACCAGGCAACAGCAUUGAAAUUCUUGAAGCUAUCUACAGUUAUCCAAAUAGAAGACAAUGUGAAAAGUCCGACGUAUCAAUGACUUGUGUGUCCUAUGAAAAAUCUAAAGUUGUUGAAAGAUGUCUCGGACAAUCGCAUUGUGAUUUCACGAUAGAUACAAAUUUAUUCGAGGUCAUAUGCAAGCGACCCACGGUGAAACUAGCCACAGUGCACUAUAAAUGUA
rnacentral:sRNA from 1 species